rnacentral:lncRNA from 1 species
CGGGAACUGAAGACCCGCCGUACAUAGGGACGAACAAAAGGGCGUUUUGUGGAAGAAGACCUGCACCAGUAAUGCAUCACGGUGGAAAUGCGGGAAGCACAUACACGUGCAGACGUACUCGACAACUAUCAAGUCCAACAAAGAAGCGUUUUCACGGCGCGACGGGGUUUCAGCCCUCAAAACGGACUAGACGGGGGCGGCCAGGUCACAGAUCGCCUGACGAGGAAGCAGAAAAGCG